UUGGAGAGGGGUUUACGAGUAGAACACCAAGUACCGGGAAGGUCAACAAGCGUGUUCGUGGUAACCUAACCCUAACCACCUGAUGCCCUCCUUCAUUCGUGAAAGAGGGCAUUAAAGUGAAUUGUGGCCCGACAUUUCUAAAUUUAGAAUUUGUUUGAAAAUUUAGGUAUAGAUAAUUACUAUUAUAUACAUCGCGGGUCAGUAAUGGGAGCACAACGGAAUUUGUGUGUGUUUCCAUACAUGUGGUUUGUUCGCCCUUAUUCCACAUAAAAAAAAAUGUACAAAGGGUAUUCUCGUUAAAACCCCUUUUUUUU
rnacentral:telomerase_RNA from 1 species